rnacentral:rRNA from 1 species
AGCAGUCGCCGCGGUAAUACGAAGGGGGCUAGCGUUGUUCGGAAUCACUGGGCGUAAAGGGUGCGUAGGCGGGAUCUUAAGUCAGGGGUGAAAUCCCGAGGCUCAACCUCGGAACUGCCUUUGAUACUGGGGUCCUUGAGUCCGGAAGAGGUGAGUGGAACUGCGAGUGUAGAGGUGAAAUUCGUAGAUAUUCGCAAGAACACCGGUGGCGAAGGCGGCUCACUGGUCCGGAACUGACGCUGAGGCACGACAGCGUGGGGAGCAAACAGGAUUAGAUACCCCCGUAGUCCCUGUCUCUUAUAC